rnacentral:misc_RNA from 1 species
GAGGAUUCCAACUUCCUAUUAAAUUAAUCAAUUAAGCAUAUCCGAAAUAUUCCAAUUGACUUGCUUGACGCCAUUGCUAUCUCCAUCUAAUUAUAUUUUAUACAAUUUCUUCAAAUCUCUCAUUUGCUCAACCCCAUUUUUAUUUGCUAUAAAGCUCAUCGCGCAUGUUUCCUCCCAUCACACAACAGCAACAACAUGGAGAAAUUAUUGCCAUUUGGGCUCUCUCUUCUCCUAGCCACCUCCUUCUUCCCUCAGUUUCCCUUCCUUUCUCAUGCCAGCUCAAAAAAUGUCUACUCUCGACCUUCUGCUCGCAGAGUCAUCUUCACCCAUCACAACGGUUCUAAAUCAGAACCUCAACAGGUGCAUAUUUCGCUGGCGGGUAGAGAUCAUAUGAGAGUAACAUGGAUUACAGAGGAUAAACAUGUAGAUUCAAGAGUAGAAUAUGGAAAGCAACCGGGGAAAUACAAUGCAGUGGCGACAGGAGAGCACACUUCGUAUCAUUAUUUCUUCUAUAGCUCAGGGAAGAUACACCAUGUAAAGAUUGGACCAUUGGAGGCAGCCACAACCUAUUACUACAGAUGUGGAGGAUAUGGCCCUGAAUUCUCCUUCAGAACCCCUCCUUCUGCUUUCCCCAUUGAAUUUGCUGUGGUCGGUGAUCUAGGGCAAACAGAAUGGACUAAAUCAACACUAGAACACGUAGGCAGUCGAGAUUACGACGUAUUUUUGCUACCAGGGGAUUUAUCUUACGCAGAUAGCCAGCAACCUCUCUGGGACUCAUUCGGCCGCCUGGUUGAGCCAUAUGCCAGCCAACGGCCAUGGAUGGUGACAGAAGGGA